UAUCCAUACCAGUGUUUGAAUAAUGCUACUAUUCGUAAGAUAUCUUUUACGCUAUAGAAUAACGUGAGCAUAUUUAUUGUAUAACAUUUUCAUUAAAAAACUAUUUUUUAAAAUAAAAUGAUUAUAAAAUAUCAAUUUUCCAUCUUUAAACUAACAACAUAUCAAUUAUUAAAGAAUCAUUCAUUAUCAUUUAUCGAUAAGUUAACGCUCGAUGUUAUUUACCCAUCCUUGCUUUUCAUAGACAAUCUAGCGUUACGAAAUGUCAAAUUGCCGUAAUCGUAGUUAAGCUGUGCAAAUUAAUCUCGUUGUGAUUUUGUUUUUCAGAAAAUAAAUGUGAAUAGAUCGUAAAUUCGGUGUAGUUUUUGGUGUAAUUCGUACUGUACGCGUAUAAUAAAGGAUUUAGACACUUUGUUCUUUAGAAAUUACGUAUAACGAGAUUUGGAAUAUGCCCUAUAACUGCAGACUCCAAUAUUGCAAAUAGCACCUGCAAUACAGUGGAAUAACAUAUUGGUGUGCUGAAGAAAAGAUGGCAAAGGCUUUGCUGAAGAAAAGCUGAUAGGACAUUGUACUGAUGACCCUGUUAUCUGGUCAAAUCAUACAUGUGUGUAUUAUCAAAAUAUUUGCAUAGAUUGUGAAAUGCAAAUAUUUUGAUAAUACACACAUUAAUGAUUUGAAAAUAUUUGAUUUGGUCUUUGAUAUUUGAAAAUAAAAGAAUACUUACUUUGCGUAGUUUGUUUUGUUGUAGUAUUUUUCUAAACUAAAGCUUUCAGUUUAACAUUUUACUAUUAAUAAAUUAUUCAAGAAAGUGUAGUUGUAAAAAAUACAUUUUUGAAUUCAAUAUAUUUUGAAUAACUCUGUAUAAUACCUGUGUAUGUUUGCCCCCCUGCAGUUUCACCCACAUAAUUCCUGUUCCCGUGGAAUGGAAUACAUGGCGUAUAAUACUCAAAUGUGGAUUUUUAUUGGUAAAAUAAUCUUCAUAAUAAAAAUUUUAAUAAAAAAAAUACAACCGACUUCAAAACCUAAAAACGAAGCCACUAAACUAAAAAGUGAAAAAUAACAUCAUAAUAUGUUCUACCCGCUGAUCAGUAUAAAGGCGGUGCUAAGCCGGUGAUGUAUUAAUUCAAGCCAUGUGAGAAUAUCUUGUAGAUGUAGAUUUUGCAGACAGUGUUGUUUCAUGUGGUCCUGUCAGAAAUGGCUUAAAUUAAGACAACACCGGCUAAGCACCGCCUUCAUACUGAUCAGCAGGUAGAACAUAUUAUGAUGUUAUUUUUCACUUUUUAGUUUAGUGGGUUCGUUUUUAGGUUUUGAAGUCGGUUGUAUUUUUUUUAUUAAAAUUUUUAUUAUUUUUCCAUUUUUAGUGUAAAAUUUCAUCUCAAAUGAAUAUAUCAGACCCCUAAUGACAGUCACAACCCAUUUUGGUACAAAAUUCUCAGCAAUACAAAUUAAUCAAGCCCAAGCACAAGGUAGCUACCGUAAACCGUUAACACUUUCCCUGCGGCAUACACACACGCUGUGUUACGUAAUUACCCGAUGCGUAUGCGGCAUUACACACCAUUAGUGUUUUUUAAGAUGACUCGGUAUUCCCAUGUACAUCGGACGGUGUAUCGCGCCCAGCGUGUUUUAUUUUGACGCUCCGCGAGUGCGGGCGGGAACGUACCACACGCCCGGCGUGUUUAACAAUAUAAUUAUCAACUAAUGUAACAAUCUAUACUUAUAAUAGUAUUGAUUAUGUACCUAUACCUAAUAUUAUGUAUGUUUUGCUAUAAUGAAAAAAUUGUGUACUAUAAUAAAAAACAGGGUUGCCAUUGCGAACACAUUAUCAUAUGUGAGCUCGGAGGAAUUACGAGUAAUAAGAUUUUUUCAAGGCCACCAACCGCCGCGCAUUUGUAUCUUCAACAGGGUGAAAUAGGCGGCUCAAUUAUUUUCAAUGUCAGUCAAAACAUAAACAAACUAACUAGAAUAAAAUUUAAAAUACGAAUGUCUAAA